AAGGUAAGCUCGCGCCGAGUGAAGAGGCCUGCGCCGCCACGGCAUGGCUCUUCACCGAUAGGGUAGGCCGGGAAACGGGCCUGCCUCCCGGAAUUGGAAAGGCGAGAGCAAGCCCCAAAG
rfam:Spirochaetes bacterium GWB1_66_5 gwb1_scaffold_19155, whole genome shotgun sequence.